UGACCCAUGGUGUAACUGGCAACACGUCUGAUUCUGGAUCAGAAGAGUCUAGGUUCGAGCCCUAGUGGGUCAA
rnacentral:tRNA from 1 species